CUGGCAGGGGAAAGAUUCCUUGGAGAAACAGUUUACUAGUCUGUUGGGGGAUGGCAGCUACCAAAGAAGCUGGAGGUGGGUGAUCUGUGCUCCUGUGGACAUUUUUGGAUCAUCCUACAAGGAGCCCUCAGAAGCAGGAAGGGGAUAAGAGGUUUUCAAUACCCUUAGGUGGACUAAGGGACAAUAUUGGGAGCUCCAGCCAUUCUCUGGACCAUCUAGGACUCCUCAUCAUCCAGCCUCUCCUUGCCAAAAGACUCUAUAUGGGAAGAAAGCGAGACUCAGAAAGGCACAGCAACUUGCCCAUGGUACCCAAUGAGGGUCAGAGACAAGAGGAAGAAAAAGAAACAAGAAUUUAUUCAUCACCUGCUCUGUGCCAGAUCAGCAGAGAGCUGACUGUGAAGUCACAUCAGAAUUUUUUAAUGGUUUCUUCCUUUUCAUCCUCAAAGGAAUUUAUAAUGAUAGCAUCUUCCAAAUUUAAUAAAUGAGAG
rnacentral:lncRNA from 1 species